UACGUAGGGGGCUAGCGUUGUCCGGAAUCAUUGGGCGUAAAGCGCGUGUAGGCGGUUCGGUAAGUCCGCUGUGAAAGUCGGGGGCUCAACCCUCGGAAGCCGGUGGAUACUGUCGAGCUCGAGUCCGGAAGAGGCGAGUGGAAUUCCUGGUGUAGCGGUGAAAUGCGCAGAUAUCAGGAGGAACACCAAUGGCGAAGGCAGCUCGCUGGGACGUGACUGACGCUGAGGCGCGAAAGCGUGGGGAGCAAACAGG
rnacentral:rRNA from 1 species